CCUACGGGAGGCAGCAGUGGGGAAUCUUGCGCAAUGGGGGAAACCCUGACGCAGCGACGCCGCGUGGGUGAUGAAGGCCUUCGGGUCGUAAAGCCCUGUCAGGUGGGAAGAAACAUGUUGAUGUGAAUAACAUCAACAUCUGACGGUACCACCAGAGGAAGCACCGGCUAACUCCGUGCCAGCAGCCGCGGUAAUACGGAGGGUGCAAGCGUUGUUCGGAAUUACUGGGCGUAAAGCGCGUGUAGGCGGUUGAGCAAGUCAGAGGUAAAAUCCUUCGGCUCAACGGGAGAAGUGCAUUUGAAACUGCUAAACUAGAGUACGGGAGAGGAGAGUGGAAUUCCCGGUGUAGAGGUGAAAUUCGUAGAUAUCGGGAGGAACACCGGUGGCGAGGGCGGCUCUC
rnacentral:rRNA from 1 species